UAUUCCCCACUGCUGCCUCCCGUAGGAGUCUGGGCCGUGUCUCAGUCCCAAUGUGGCCGUUCAACCUCUCAGUCCGGCUACCGAUCGUCGCCUUGGUGGGCCGUUACCCCGCCAACAAGCUAAUCGGACGCGAGUCCAUCUCUAAGCGAUAAAUCUUUGAUAUCGAAGUCAUGCGGCUUCAAUAUGUUAUGCGGUAUUAGCGAUCUUUUCAGAACGUUAUUCCCCUCUUAGAGGCAGGUUACUCACGCGUUACUCACCCGUCCGCCACUAAGUUAAAAAUCCGUCAUCCCGAAGGAAUCCGUCAAAAUAACUCCGUUCGACUUGCAUGUGUUAGGCACGCCGCCAGCGUUCAUCCUGAGCCAA
rnacentral:rRNA from 1 species